rnacentral:rRNA from 1 species
GACGGGACCCCGCACAAGCGGUGGAUCAUGUUGUUUAAUGCGAUGAUACGCGAAGAACCUUACCAGGUCUUGACAUCCCCCGCGAUGCUUUAGAGAUAAAGCGGAGGUAUUCGGGGAGACAGGUGGUGCAUGGUUGUCGUCAGCUCGUGUCGUGAGAUGUUGGGUUAAGUCCCGCAACGAGCGCAACCCCUAUUGCUAGUUACCAUCAUUAAGUUGGGGACUCUAGCGAGACUGCCAGUGAUAAACUGGAGGAAGGUGGGGAUGACGUCAAAUCAUCAUGCCCCUUAUGACCUGGGCUACAAACGUGAUACAAUGGCUGGAACAAAGGGAUGCGAAGCAGUGAUGUGGAGCGAAACCCAUAAAAACAGUCUCAGUUCGGAUUGAAGUCUGCAACUCGACUUCAUGAAGUCGGAAUCGCUAGUAAUCGCGGAUCAGCCAAGCUGCGGUGAAUACGUUCCCGGGCCUU